rnacentral:lncRNA from 1 species
AUGGAGCCGGGAGCGCGCCGGGAACGCCGGGGGGGUGAGGGGACAGCGGGACGGGGACGGGGACGGGCACGGGGUGGUCCUGGUGCCACCCCCGGUGCCACCCCCGGUGCCACCCGGCCUGUGCCCAGCCAGGGGCUCCGGAAGGGCCGCGCCGGGAUCCAGGAGCAGCCGGGAAAGGCGGAAUUCCAGCCGGAUCCCAAGGGGCAGGAGCAGCCAGGGCCGGGUGGGGCCCGGAUCCAGCCGGGUUUUCCCUUUGGAUCCUACGAGCCCUCGGUGGCCUCGGGGACAGCGCGGAGACGGGAACGGAGGUGUCCGGCUGGGAGCAGCUCCCGACGUCCCUCCGGGGCCACCUGGCUGGGGCUCAAGGACGAGGAUUUCCUGGAAUUAGGGGACGAGGAUUUCCCGGGAUUGGGACAGAAGGGAAAGGAUUUCCCGGGAUUGGGAUCAAAGGACAAGGAUUUCCUAGGACUGGGAUCGAAGGAUGAGGAUUCCCCAGGACUGGGAUCGAAGAACAAGGAUUUCCCGGGAUUGGGACUGAAGGACGAGGAUUCCCCAGGAUUGGGAUCUAAGAACAAGGAUCCCCCAGGAUUGGGAUCUAAGAACAAGGAUUUCCCAGGAUUGGGAUCGAAGGACGAGAAUCCCCCAGGACUGGGAUUGAAGAACAAGGAUUUCCCGGGAUUGGGACUGAAGGACGAGGAUUCCCCAGGAUUGGGAUCGAAGAAACAGGAUUUCCCAGGACUGGGAUCAAAGGACACGGAUUUCCCGGGACUGGGACAGGACAAGGAUUUUCUGGGACUGAAGAGCAAAGAUCCUCCAGGAUUGGGAUCGAAGAACAAGGAUUUCCCGGGAUUGGGAUGGGAGGAUGAUAAGGAUUCCCCAGGGCUGGGAUCAAAGAACGAGGAUUUCCCAGGAUUGGGAUCGAAGAACAAGGAUUUCCUGGGAUUGGGACAGAAGGACGAGGAUUCCCAGAAGGACAAGGAUUCCCGGAAGGACAAGGAUUCCCAGAAGGACGAGCAUUCCCAGAAGGAUGAGGCUCCCGCCGCCCCGGGAUCCCCGCGGGGACGGGGCUGGCUCGGCGCUGCCCCGGCCCCAAAGUGGUGCCCGGCGGAGCCUCCGGAGCCCCCCGAGCCCGGCAGGUAAAGGAGCUCCUGGGAAUUCCCACCUGGCAUCCAGGAGAUGUCCUGGGCCAGGGAUCCCAGCCCAGGUGUCCUCCAGGUGUGCCAGGGGAUGUCCCUGUCCCACGUGUGCCCAGGUGUGCCAGGGGAUGUCCCUGGCCCAGGGGAUGUCCCUGUCCCAGGUGUCCUCCAGGUGUCCCCGGAAAUGUGUCUAUUCUGGAAUUCUCCCACCUGAGCUCCUCCCACCUCCUGUCCGAGGCUCCCCUGGCUCAGCUCACCUGGGACAGGUGUCACCUGGGAGGGCUCAGGUGUCACCUGGGAGGGCUCAGGUGUCACCUGGGAGGGCUCAGGUGACCGGUGUCGGGGAGGGCACCCUGGGUUGGAGGUUUGGGGUGUCCCCGUUCCCUCCAAAUCCCAAAGGUGGGAUCCCUGACGCUGGACAGGUGGGGAGGGACAGGUGACACAGGUUGCACGGGUGACACAGGUGAUAGAGGUGGCACAGGUGGCACAGGUGACACAGGGGAGAUGGCACAGGUGACACACGUGACAGGUGGUACAGGUGGCAGAGGUGACACAGGUGGCAGAGGUGACACAGGUGGCACAGGUGACAUGACACAGGUGGCAGAGGUGACAUGGCACAGGUGACUCAGGUGGCAAAAAUGGCACAGGUGAGAUGGCACAGAUGGCACAGGUGACACAAUUGGCACAGGUGACACCAGUGACAUGGCUCAGAUGACACAGGUGACAUGGCACAGAUGACACAGGUGGCACAGGUGGUUCAGGUAGCACACGUUACAUGGCACAGGUGGCACAGGUGACUCAGGUGACAUGGCACAGAUUACACAGGUGGCUCAGGUGGCACAGGUGACAUGGCACAGGUGGCACAGAUGGCACAGGUGGCUCAGGUAGCACAGGUGGAACAGGUGGCUCAGGUGACAUCACACAGAUGACACAGGUGGCUCAGGUGGCACAGGUGACAUGGCACAGAUGACACAGGUGGCUCAGGUAGCACACGUUACAUGGCACAGGUGGCACAGGUGACUCAGGUGACAUGGCACAGAUUACACAGGUGGCUCAGGUGGCACAGGUGACAUGGCACAGGUGGCACAGAUGGCACAGGUGGCUCAGGUAGCACAGGUGGAACAGGUGGCUCAGGUGACAUCACACAGAUGACACAGGUGGCUCAGGUGGCACAGGUGACAUGGCACAGAUGACACAGGUAGCACAGGUGGCAUGGCACAGGUGGCACAGAUGGCACAGGUGGCUCAGAUAGCACAGGUGACAUGACACAGGUGGCACAGGUGACUCAGGUGACAUGGCACAGGUGUCACAGGUGGCUCAGGUGGCUCAGGUGACAUGGCACAGGUGGCACAGAUGACACAGGUGGCACAGGUGGCUCAGGUAGCACAGGUGACAUGGCCCAGGUGGCACAGAUGACAGAGGUGGCACAGGUGGCUCAGGUAGCACAGGUGACAUGGCACAGGUGGCACAGGUGGCUCAGGUGGCUCAGGUGACAUGGCACAGGUGGCACAGAUGACACAGGUGGCACAGGUGGCUCAGGUAGCACAGGUGACAUGGCGCAGGUGGCUCAGGUAGCCCAGGUGACAAGGCACAGGUGACGCAGGUGAUGUGGCACUGUGGCACAGGUAGCCCGGGCUGGGGCGGGUCCUGCCCCCCCUCUCGCUCAUUCCCUGUGGGAUCUGUUCCCGCUCCAGGCUGGUGGGACCCGGUGGGACCCGCCCCCGCGGGCAGCUGGCGGCAGGUGAGGCCCUGGCACCGCAGGUGUCCCCGAGCUCACCUGGCCUGGCCAGGGACACCUGGGGAGCCCCGGGAACCGGGGAGCUCUGCGGGGGGACGGGGUAGUGGGAUAGCGGGUAACGGGAUAGUGGGAUAUCGGGAUAAUGGGAUAGUGGGAUAAUGGGAUAGGAUGGGAUAUCGGGAUAAUGGGGUAGGAUGGGAUAAUGAGAUAGUGGGAUAAUGGGAUAGUGGGAUGAGAUAAUGGGAUAUGGGGAUAAUUGGAUAAUGGAAUAUUGGGAUAAUGGGCUAACAGGAUGGGAUAAUGGAUAUCAGGAUAAUGGGAUAUCAGGAUAAUGGGAUAAUAGGAUGGGGUAAUGGGAUAACAGGCUGGGAUAAUAGGAUAUCAGGAUAAUUGGAUAACAGGCUGGGAUAAUGGGAUAUCAAGAUAAUGGGAUGAUGGGAAAUUGGGAUAAUGAAAUAUCAGGAUAAUGGGAUAUCAGGAUGGGAUAAUGGGAUAGUGGCAUAUCGGGAUAAUGGGGUAAUGGGAUAAUAGGAUAAUGGGACAGGAUAAUGGGAUAGUAGGAUAUCAGGAUAAUGGAAUAGUAGGAUAAUGGGGUGGGAUAAUGGGAUAACAGGAUGGAAUGAUGGGAUAAAGGGAUGGGGCUGGAUGGGAUAGGAUCCAUGGGAUGGGAUAAUGGGGUGGGAUUGGAUCCAUGGAAUGGGAUGGGAUCAAUGGGAUUGGAAGGGAUCCAUGGUGUGGGAAGGCACCAUGGGAUGGGAUCCACAGAAUGGGAUGGGUUCAAUGGGAUGGGAUUGGGAUGGAAUGGGAGAGAUGGAUGGGAUGGGAUCCGUGGGAUCAAGGGAAUCCAUGGGAUCAAUGGGAUGGGAUAAUGGGAUGGGAUCCAUGGGAUCCAUGGGAUGGGACAGUUCCCUUCCUUCCAUGUGUCCCAGUGAUGGAUUUGUCCCAUUUUCCACCCCAGCCAUGCAGGAGCUGCCGGGUCCUGCCACGCCCACUCAGGUGGGUGCUGGGGCAGGAGCGGGAAAGGAUCCCUGGGGAUCCCCUGGGAUCUGGGGGGGCUGGGCAUGGAUCAGCAUUCCCAGGAGAGGAGAGCUUGCCCUUUCCCAGGCCUCUCCUGGAGCAUCCCUGUGUCCCCACAGGAGGAUCCAGCAGCUCCUCCAGCCCCACCCCGCCCGGAGAACCCCCGAGCUCUCCCGUCCUGGCUCUGUCCGGAGCAUCCCGCAGCUUUCCCAGCCCGGAGGCACCAGGAGGCUCCAGGAGCUCUCCCAUCCCAGCCCCACCAGGAGGCUCCAGGAGCUCUCCCGUCCCAGCCCCACCAGGAUUCCCAAACUCUCCAAUCCCACCCGUGCCAGGAGCAUCCCGGCUGUGGGAUCGCCCUGCGCAGCCUCCAGGCCCGGCUGGAGGAACUGGAAAACCAGGUGGGGGCUGAGGGUAUCACCUGGGGGGGCACCUGGGGCACGGCCACUCCAGGGUGGCACUUGGAGCCCGUCCCAUUCCCGCCAGGUGGCGGACGCUGGAGCUGGAGCGGGCACGGCAGGAACUGGUCCUGCAGCACCUCCCAGAGAGCGGCCACAGGUAACGGGGUCUCACCUGGGCUCCCAGUUCCCUGCUCCAGAUCCCGGGAUGACCCCAGAUCCGAGGAUCACCCUGGGGCACAGGAUCACCCCAGAUCUCUGGAUGACAACAGACCCCUGAAUCACCCCACAUCCCAGGAUCACCCUGGAUCCCACCACCACCCCAGAUCCCUGGAUCACCCUGGGGCACAGGAUCACCCCAGAUCCCAGGUUCACCCCACAUCCCUGGAUCACCCAGAUCCCAGGAUCACCCCGCAUCCCAGGAUCACCCCACAUCCCAUGAUCACUCCAGACCCCUGGAUCACUCCAGAUCUCUGGAUCCUUGAGACCCCAGGAUCACCCCACAUCCCAUGAUCACUCCAGACCCCAGGACCACCCCAUAUCCCAUGAUCAUCCCAGAUCCCAGGAUCACCCCAGGCUCCUGGAUUACCCCAGAUCCCAGAAUCACCCCAGAUCCCUGGAUCACCCCACAUCCCAUAAUCACUCCAGAUCCUUGGAUCACCCCACAUCCCAUGAUCACCCCAGACCCCAGGAUCACCCCAGACCCCGGGAUCACCCCGGAACCCAGGAGCAGCACGAGCAGCUCACAGGUAAAUUCCCUCCAAGUGCAUCGUUCCAGUGGGACCCUCUGCUUGUUCCCAACGGCUCGGAGCCGAUCCCACAGAAUCCAGGCGGUCCCGGGACAAGUCCUGGUGUCCUGGAGGAUUCCUGGGCCUGUAGAUCCCUGUCCCAGCCCUCCUGGGGGGAUUCCUGGCCAGAGGCUCUGCUGCUCCAGUGCCCAGCGGCGCUCGAACAGGGCUGCUCCAGUGCCCAGCGGCGCUCGAACAGGGGCUGCUCCAGUGCCCAGCGGCACUCGAACAGGGGCUGCUCCAGCGCCCAUUGGCGCUCGAACAGGGGCUGCUCCAGCGCCCAUUGGCGCUCGAACAGGGACUGGCUCCAGUGCCCAGUGCUGCUCGAACAGGGGCUGCUCCAGCGCCCAUUGGCGCUCGAACAGGGACUGGCUCCAGUGCCCAGCGGCACUCGAACAGGGGCUGCUCCAGUGCCCAGCGGCGCUCGAACAGGGGCUGCUCCAGUGCCCAGAGGCGCUCGAACAGGGGCUGGCUCCGUCCGGGAUCCCACCGGAUCCUCAGGAAAGGGGAAGAGUUCCACGGGAUAUUCACUGGAAUCACGAGGAAUUGCAUGAAAUUCACUGAAUUUUCCGAUUCACAGAAUUUGCAGAAGUUCACAGAGUUCACAGAACUCAUGGAAUUCACGGAAUGCACAGAAUCCAUGGAAUUCUCAGAAGUCACGGAAUUCAUGAAAUUCACGGAAUUCUCCAAAUUCACAGAAUUCACAGAAUUUGCAGGAUUCACAGAAUUCUUC